UUGGGAAUUUAAUUAAAUUAUACCAUAAGAUAAACAAAGUUAGUCAAACAACAUGAUAGAAAUGAUAAGAGGGGAAAUAUUAAUUUUGGGCCCUUGGGCCCAAAUCCUAUCCUAAAUCUAAAAAAAUCUGGUAUACAUUAGAUGUAUACUGUUGUAUCUCGGCCCAUUUUGUGUAUAUUGGGUUGUAUACCGAAUGUAUACAGCCUACUACAAACUCCAGCACCUGUAUUUUAAAUUUUGGACCUAUAUAUUAAUAUUCUCCAUGUAUACUAGUGUAUACUACUGUAUACAACAAGUAUACAACCCUUUUCGGACUUUUCGGGGUCUGUAAAUCCGAUUUUCAGCAUUAUUUGUUGCUUUCAACCUGUUCAUCCGCUUCACGAUUUGCAAUGGGGGGCUGACUCGAGGGACAAAGAGGAUUUGGGGACUUUAUGGCCCAUUUUGAAAUGCAUAGGCGAAUGAAUUUGGGUCCAACUCGGACUCCAUACGGGUUCACAUGUAGCAAAAUGAGAACAAAAAAUUAGCACUCGUAUAAGUCAACAUCCCAGAAUUAUAUUAACAAAUAUUGGGAAUAAGUGAAACUAGACAAAAUCGACCAAAGGUUAAAAUCAUACUAAGUCAUGAAUCACUGCCAAACAUUACUUUGUGGAUCAAAAAUUAAAGGAAAAGAAACAAAUUAUACAAUUUAGAAGACGACUCAUUUUGCAAAUCAUGGACCAUGUAUUCUAUGUUUAAGAAUCUUUGUGAACUAAAAGAAACAAAUGAGAUUACUGCGAUUUAACCAACAAAACAACAUGCUGGAAAUUUGAUUUCUAAGCCUCAAAAUAUUAGACAAUUAGCAGAAACUUAAAUGACCCAAAUUGAAG
rnacentral:lncRNA from 1 species